UACCAGCACCCCGAGUGGUCGGGACGUUUAUUGGGCCUAAAGCAUCCGUAGCCGGUUCUGCAAGUCUUCCGUUAAAUCCACCUGCUUAACAGAUGGGCCGCGGAAGAUACUAUAGAGCUAGGAGGCGGGAGAGGCAAGCGGUACUCGAUGGGUAGGGGUAAAAUCCGUUGAUCCAUUGAAGACCACCAGUGGCGAAGGCGGCUUGCCAGAACGCGCUCGACGGUGAGGGAUGAAAGCUGGGGGAGCAAACCGGAUUAGAUACCCGUGUAG
rnacentral:rRNA from 1 species